rnacentral:rRNA from 1 species
ACGCCGUAAACGAUGUCUACUUGGAGGUUGUGGCCUUGAGCCGUGGCUUUCGGAGCUAACGCGUUAAGUAGACCGCCUGGGGAGUACGGUCGCAAGAUUAAAACUCAAAUGAAUUGACGGGGGCCCGCACAAGCGGUGGAGCAUGUGGUUUAAUUCGAUGCAACGCGAAGAACCUUACCUACUCUUGACAUCCAGAGAACUUUCCAGAGAUGGAUUGGUGCCUUCGGGAACUCUGAGACAGGUGCUGCAUGGCUGUCGUCAGCUCGUGUUGUGAAAUGUUGGGUUAAGUCCCGCAACGAGCGCAACCCUUAUCCUUGUUUGCCAGCGAGUAAUGUCGGGAACUCCAGGGAGACUGCCGGUGAUAAACCGGAGGAAGGUGGGGACGACGUCAAGUCAUCAUGGCCCUUACGAGUAGGGCUACACACGUGCUACAAUGGCGCAUACAGAGGGCGGCCAACUUGCGAAAGUGAGCGAAUCCCAAAAAGUGCGUCGUAGUCCGGAUUGGAGUCUGCAACUCGACUCCAUGAAGUCGGAAUCGCUAGUAAUCGUGGAUCAGAAUGCCACGGUGAAUACGUUCCCGGGCCUUGUACACACCGCCCGUCACACCAUGGGAGUGGGCUGCAAAAGAAGUAGGUAGUUUAACCUUCGGGGGGACGCUUACCACUUUGUGGUUCAUGACUGGGGUGAAGUCGUAACAAGGUAGCGCUAGGGGAACCUGGCGCUG